CAAGUACUCCCUCCAUCUUAAAAUUUUUGUCUUAGAUUUGUCUAGAUACGGAUGUAUCUAAUACUAAAACGUGACUUGAUACAUCCGUAUCUAGACAAAUCCAAGACAAAAAUUUUGGGACGGAGGGAGUAAUAA
rfam:Triticum aestivum genome assembly, contig: Triticum_aestivum_CS42_TGACv1_scaffold_223856_3B